rnacentral:rRNA from 1 species
GACGAACGCUGGCGGCGUGCCUAAUACAUGCAAGUAGAACGCUGAAGCGAGGAGCUUGCUCUUCUUGGAUGAGUUGCGAACGGGUGAGUAACGCGUAGGUAACCUGCCUUGUAGCGGGGGAUAACUAUUGGAAACGAUAGCUAAUACCGCAUAACAAUGGAUGACACAUGUCAUUUAUUUGAAAGGGGCAAUUGCUCCACUACAAGAUGGACCUGCGUUGUGUUAGUUAGUAGGUGAGGUAAUGGCUCACCUAGGCGACGAUACAUAGCCGACCUGAGAGGGGGAUCUGCCACACUGGGACUGAGACACGGCCCAGACUCCUACAGGAGGCAGCAGUAGGGAAUCUUCGGCAAUGGGGGCGACCCUGACCGAGCACCGCCGCGUGAGUGAAGAAGAUUUUCGGAUCGUGAAGCUCGGUUGUAAGUCGAGAACGGGUGUGAGAGUGGAAAGUUCACUCUGUGACGGUAGCUUACAAAAAAGGGACGGCUAACUACGUG